UCCAAUUGGAUUUGUGCUUUAAAAUUUUUAUUAUUAUUUAUCAUUAGCAUUUUUCUUCAAUAUUCUAUUGUCUAGUUUAGUGUCAAUGUUUUGUCAGCCUUCUUCUUUUCCUAAAUUUAUAACUAGAUAUUGUGAUACGUUGGCAUUAAGGCUUUAGAUAACAACAGCAAUGAAGGACUGGAUUUUGUGACAACUUGAGAAUCUACUUUUAGAGAUUGUUGAAUGAUGAUGCUGUCACAAGAUAGAAUUAAGAGGGGCCUUAGAUCUUGGAAGGUUGGAAAGGCAUAUGUAUUAUCAUACAUCAUUAGGAAGGGUAAGUAGGAAAUGCCCAAAUGAUUUUCAAACUGAUAUGUAUGGCUUCUAAUAGAGCUUUGAAUCAGGUUUUGAUCAGAAUUUUUUUUUUUUUUUUUUUGGUCUUUUUUCCCUUGUUUUUUACCCUUCGUUUCAAGUUGAGAAGUUUCUAGCGAUUUUAGAGGAUAAUGCUGGUUGAUGCUUCAGUUGUUUUAGUAUUUCCAAAACAGCUAGAAGAGAUAGAGUGCAUCCUAGAGACAUUUGUAUCAGACUGAAUUGAUGGAAGGAUUGAAUGUCAUUAAAACAUCUCAAUAGGCCCUGCACGUCAAUUUACCUGGAGCAACAGAGACUGCGAUUAUAAUAUUUGGAACACCUGAGCAGACACAUGCUGCACAGAGUCUUCUUCAAGCAUUUGUACUGAGUGAACAGGGCACUCCUUGACUUGUUGCAUUGGACUGGUAAACUUCGAAAUUCUGCUGCAUCUGACCUGUCUUUGAGUAUAUAUUCAGCUAGAAAGAAACAGUAUGAUUUGCUCCUUGUUAGCCGCUGAUGGAAUCACUAGCAUCACAACUUCAUCAUCAUCAUUGCCUUGUCCCAACUAUUUGGGGUCAGCUUUAUGUAAGUCCCUACCCUAGGUUAGUGAACAAUCUUUAAAAUUUUGUUAUGGAAAUCUGUACUCAUGCAUUGUUGGAGAAUCUGACAAACCUCUACAUUCUCAGAUUGCAUUGAAAAGCACACAAGGGAAAGGAAAUGGCUGGUUAUACACAAAGGGUUUUUUCUGUUGGAGUACUUACGUUCUAAAGGAGAGGAGAGUAGAGGGAGUAUCAAUGCUCUGAUUUGUGGAUUGAUGGAUGCUCUGAUUUGAAGUCACUUCUAAAAGGACUACAAGAAAUUGGAGGUAUGGAGUAUCAAUGCUCUGAACAGUAUACGUACGUAGCCAACACCAAUUAAUUGGAAUAUGGCUUAGAUGACAUGAAGGCAAUCAAUUUGA